GGCCACUGGGAUGUUGGCAUCCCUUAACCCAUGCCUGCUCUGUGAUCACUGCCCAGUGUGACCUUGGUGAUGUGGACAAAGAACCAGAACUCCACAAGGCCUGUGAUGUCUUUAUUCCAAUUCUUCCUCUGGCUUGCUCUCCACUGCUGCAAAUAGCUCAUGAAAAAAGAUCACCCCCCUGGGAUGUUAGAAAUGUUCUACAUUGCGAUCUGAGUGGUGGUCACACGAGAGUGUACAUAUGAGAAUUUUGUCCUUUCAACAGGUGUGUGCCUUGCUCAGGUGACAUCUGAAAUACCAUAAUCAGAGUCACUGCCCCUCAAGAGGAGGCAGCAACCAGUGUCACAUACCCUGGGGCAUCAGCACCUGGCAAAAUGCCUUCAGUUGCUACUUUGUUGAAUAAUUGAAGAAAUGAAUGAGAUCUCCCUGACUCUGCAUUUUCUUUGGAUUUACUCAGAAAAGCAGUAUCCAAGCAGAAC